rnacentral:rRNA from 1 species
GAUGAACGCUGGCGGCGUGCCUAAUACAUGCAAGUCGAGCGAACGGACGAGAAGCUUGCUUCUCUGAUGUUAGCGGCGGACGGGUGAGUAACACGUGGAUAACCUACCUAUAAGACUGGGAUAACUUCGGGAAACCGGAGCUAAUACCGGAUAAUAUUUUGAACCGCAUGGUUCAAAAGUGAAAGACGGUCUUGCUGUCACUUAUAGAUGGAUCCGCGCUGCAUUAGCUAGUUGGUAAGGUAACGGCUUACCAAGGCAACGAUGCAUAGCCGACCUGAGAGGGGAAUCGGCCAACCGGAACCGGAGACCCGGUCCGAACUCCUACGGGAGCCAGCAUUGGGGAAUCUUCCGCAAUGGGCGAAGGCCUGACGGAGCAACGCCGCGUGAGUGAUGAAGGUCUUCGGUUCGUAAACCCCUUUUAUUAGGGAAGAACAUAUGUGUAGUAACUGUGCACAUCUUGACGGUACCUAAUCAGAAAGCCACGGCUAACUACGUG